AUUGAACGCUGGCGGCAUGCUUUACACAUGCAAGUCGAACGGUGUCUUCGGACAUAGUGGCGCACGGGUGCGUAACACGUAUGCAACCUACCUUACAUUGGGGGAUAGCCUUUCGAAAGGGAGAUUAAUACCGCAUAAGACAGUAGCUGGGCAUCCAGCAGCUGUUAAAGAUUUAUCGAUGUAAGCUGGGCAUGCGUCCAAUUAGCUAGUUGGUGAGGUAACGGCUCACCAAGGCAAUGAUUGGUAGGGGAACUGAGAGGUCAAUCCCCCACACUGGCACUGAGAUACGGGCCAGACUCCUACGGGAGGCAGCAGUAGGGAAUAUUGGGCAAUGGACGCAAGUCUGACCCAGCCAUGCCGCGUGCAGGAUGAAGGCGUUAUGCGUUGUAAACUGCUUUUAUACAGGAAGAAACGACUCUUGCGAGAGGCAUUGACGGUACUGUAUGAAUAAGCACCGGCUAACUCCGUGCCAGCAGCCGCCGUAACAC
rnacentral:rRNA from 1 species